rnacentral:rRNA from 1 species
CAGUCGCCACGGUAAUACGGAGGGUCCGAGCGUUAAUCGGAAUUACUGGGCGUAAAGCGUGCGCAGGCGGUUUGUUAAGCGAGAUGUGAAAGCCCUGGGCUCAACCUAGGAAUAGCAUUUCGAACUGGCGAACUAGAGUCUUGUAGAGGGGGGUAGAAUUCCAGGUGUAGCGGUGAAAUGCGUAGAGAUCUGGAGGAAUACCGGUGGCGAAGGCGGCCCCCUGGACAAAGACUGACGCUCAUGCACGAAAGCGUGGGGAGCAAACAGGAUUAGAUACCCCAGUAGUUUCUGUCUCUUAUAC